rnacentral:rRNA from 1 species
AUGAACAACAUCACCACCAGAGACAUCAAAACUGAUGCUAUACUGCUGGACACCGGGAACCUGGUCAUCAGGUUGCCAAAUGGCGAAGAUAUAUGGCAGAGCUUCCAUCACCCAACCAACACCAUCCUCCCAAAUAUGAGUUUACCACUGAGCAACAACACCAACCUCUCCAUGCACCUGGUCGCCUGGAGGGGCCCUGAUGACCCAUCCACAAGUGACUACUCCUUGGGUGGGGACUUGAGCCUCCAGCUCAUCGUCUGGAAUAGGACGACGCCAUACUGGCGAAGAGCUGCGUUGGAUGGUGUAUUGGUCUUUGGCACGUAUGAGAGAAAAUCAGGUCCAUAG